AGAACAGGCACUUCUAACAUGACAGCAAGCAGUGAGUACCUUCAUCCGCGAGCAAAUAUUCAUCCACCUCCUUUCACUCCAGCUACUCUCUAGACACUCUCAUCUGGCGAUGGACUGCUCCAGUGCCUCUUGUUGUCACAGUGCCUCACUACAAGUGCAUUGCAUGGUGAUUUUCUGCACUCUGAAGAGUGACAUUAUCACAGUGGAAACUCACUUCUUCAUCUUCCGGACAGGAACCUUAUCCAGAAGGAUCAAACCCAGGGCUUUUCAUAUGCUAGGCAAGAACUCUGUCAGUGAAUGACAGCUCUAACCCCUCUUGCAUGUCUUGAUUUAUGAACAUGGCUGCAUUUUGAGAAAGGCA
rnacentral:lncRNA from 1 species